UAAUUUUGUUAGACUUCUAGCAAUUUCUUGUUCAAAUAUUAGCAUUUCUAUACAAUGUUAGCAUAUUGUAUUUGAAAAUUUAGUGAAAUUUGGUAUGUUGUAUGUACUGAAGUGUGACCCUUCUCACUAUGUGAUCAGCCCCAUCAACUGGAUAUUACAAAUUUGUUUGCUGUAGUGGUUCAGGCUUGCCAUGACAAGGUUCCUACAAAAGUAAUCCACGGGCCACUAGUUGAUGAGAUUCAUCAAGAGUUUAGCUCUUGGAUUUACCAAGUUAUUAGGCUUUACAAAGACGAAGACCAUGCUAAAGUUGAAUACACUAUAAG